rnacentral:antisense_RNA from 1 species
UUGCUGACAACGUUCACGAGUUAAGGUUAAACAGAUUAAUCCUCUGCCAUGUGUUGCCAUAAAGUUAAUCAUUUCAGGCGUACAAUGUUCGGCUGCAAUGAUAA